AACGAACGCUGGCGGCGUGGAUAAGACAUGCAAGUCGGACGAGAUUUUCCGUUGUAGCAAUACGAUGGAAAGUCUAGUGGCGAACGGGUGCUUAACACGUGGGCAACCUGCCAGGAAGUGGGGGAUAGCUCGCCGAAAGGCGAAUUAAUACCGCAUGUGAUUAGAGUGGACAUCCAUUCGAAAUUAAAGUCGGGGCAACCUGACGCUUCUUGUGGGGCCCGCGGCCUAUCAGCUAGUUGGUGUGGUAAUGGCUCACCAAGGCUUUGACGGGUAGCUGGUCUGAGAGGACGACCAGCCACACUGGGACUGAGACACGGCCCAGACACCUACGGGUGGCAGCAGUCGAGAAUUUUUCUCAAUGGGGGAAACCCUGAAGGAGCGACGCCGCGUGGAGGAUGAAGGUCUUCGGAUUGUAAACUCCUGUCAUUGGGGAACAAUGCGCAGAUAUUAACUGUAUUUGCGUUGAUAGUACCCGAAGAGGAAGAGACGGCUAACUCUGUGCCAGCCGCCGCGGUAAAAC
rnacentral:rRNA from 1 species